AAGGACAUAUCUGUUUGAAAAUAUAAUUAUAUAAUGUGGGAACAAAGAGAACGGUGCAUAAAUUUCAGAUAUUAAAAGAGAAAAAAAGGAGGCAGCAGGCAGGGACGCGUGGGGAGGCUGUGUUAAGAAGGCAACAUACAACUCACCAUGCAUAAAAAUAAAUAAAUAAAUAAAUAAAUAUAUAUAAACAAAUAAAAACAAAUAAAUAAAAUAAAGUAAAAGAAUAUAAUUUUUCUACGACGUGAAAAGAAAAAAAAAUUGUACCUUGAUGGAAAGAAAAUUUUGUUGCCUCUUCCGGGGGUUGUAGAAAACUUUUACCUAAUAUUUUUCAUACACCAUUUACUUCUAGAUUUUUUUUUCCAAAUUGUGAUCAGCAGUGAUAACGAAUUACUCUGAAAGCCUAACCAAAACCUGACAUAACUGAAUUAAUUUAAGCCUAACCUAACUGAAUUCCUCUAAACCUAACCUAACCUAACCUAACCGCUAAUGUUACUCCAAUGCUGCUAUCUUUCUUGUGUGGUGGAAGAACGAAAAUGUGAAGGAACCGAAAGGAGGUAAAGGCACAAGAAUCUUUCUCCUGAGGCGUCUGGCAGCGCGGUGUUUGCCUGAAGGGACAGAUAGGCUAACAGAGAAGGCAGGCAAAUUUUACAAUCGUGUCUUUGUGGUCGUACAGAAGCUGUCUCAGAUCUGGUGGGGAGGGAAGGAGGAGUGGGGGAGAUGGGAGGGAAGAGGGGAAGAGAGAAGAGGUAAGAGAGAGAGAAGUACUGAGGUUACAGUGAGGUGAGGUAGUUGAGUUAAAACUGCCGCCGACGCAUUAAGGUAUCCUGUGUGUGGACUGCGAUUAUCUCUCUCUCUCUCUCUCUCUCUCUCUCUCUGGCGGUUCUAGUGCAAUACUUGUAAUGAAUACAGAGUGUAAUGAGCAAGCACACACGGGUGCACACUGACUGUGACGUGACCGCUGACGUUACGAGAAAGGUGAUGAACUAACAAAGGAAAACAAACAAACAAACAAUAAUAAUUGUGAAGAUAGAGAGAGAAAGGAUAAGAAGACAGUUCCUGCACCAUUCCGUUCCUCCCUGUCCUCCUCCACAGCAUGGCAGAAGUGAAAGCCCAGGAAAGAUCCCAUGUGGGACUGCAGCUCCAGGUCCUCUUGCACAGAGAUGGUGGUGUCCCGCACGUUGAGAGCGGCAGCCACCCUCACCCCAGCCUGUGCCAGCCCGGUCACCAGCCUCCGCCAGCCAUGCAUGCCCACCCUUGCUCCAGGGAAGUCCACUUCCUAGAAUCUGGUUGGUGUGUGUAUACUGGAAUGUGCGUAGUUAGGUGGAGCAGUGAUGCGCUUGAGUUGAGUAACCAGAAUAACUGUGUGCUUGUGUAGGUGUUUACAGGAUGGACUUCAGAUGAUAUGAGAAUUGUGAUAUUUGCUUGCUCUCCACGCCGCCUCCCCACCACCUGCUUCCUCUCUCUCUCUCUCUCUCUCUCUCUCUCUCUCUCUCUCUCUCUCUCUCUCUCUCUCUCUCUCUCUCUCUCUCUCUCUCCCUCCUCGCGAUCAUUGUAAUUCCCUUGAUUUAUAAAAGUUAUCCACUGAA